rnacentral:lncRNA from 10 species
AGAAAAUAAAUGAAAUUCCAGGCUUUCGAUGAAAUGUCAUGCUGAAAUGGAUGGUCCAAAAAUCUAUAUUUGGAUGACUGACUCCUGUUUGAGGCUGCAAUUCAGGUGCUAGCCCAGGGCUUGCAGUUUCAUCGGAAGCCUCAACUAGGGAAGGAUCACUAUGUAGUUGUUAGCAGGAUUCGGUCUCUGGAGGGCUUUUGGCUUGGCAGGGUUUUUCAAAUGUGCUUGGCAACGGAUCCCUCUGACACCUUGCAAAACUAGUAUUCUUCAGAAUGCACUCACAUAAAUACAGUAAUUAUUAGGUUGGUGCAAAAGUAAUCACGGUUUUGCCAUUACUUUCAAUGGCAAAAAAGCAAUUACUUUUGCACCAACCUAAUAACACGAUGAUAAGUAAUCACUUCUUGGAAAGUACCCAAAACACAGAAAAGCUGAAGGUGCCUGGAUGCCGUCUUCUUUCAUGUAAGCUACCUAGGAGAACAGAACAGAAGACUGAGUGGGACACUUAGAAGCAGGCACUACUGUGCAAAUUCCAUAAAGGCAAGGAUCUAGUAUGAAGUGGUUUGUGUGAGUUCAACACACAGGUGAAUCUAGGCAGGUACGAAUCCAGCCAAGGAGCUACAUUAUGAGUCUUGUUCAUGUAACUUACUUCAAAUAGGUAAAUCAUUAACAUGCCUCUUAUAAACCUAGGUCAUAACCCUAUCACUCUCCUUCCCCCCUAGUCUUAGGAAGGUCAGUGGGUAUUGACGGAGGGAGAGGAAAAAAGAAAGAAGUCAGAUUGCAAUUAUACUACUGUUGCUUAUUGUAUAGAGAAGUGAAGAUCAGGACUGUUUCUCUGAUUCAAAUAAUCCCAAGAUAAAACGGGGAAGGGGAGUUGAGUUGGGGGGAAAUUUUGCCAUCAAGCACUUCUAGCAGAGGACGGAAAUGUGUUUCAGACAGCUAUGAAACCUGCUGAGCUAUGACCAACUGCCCAACAACCACCG